UUUCUUUGACGUCCCAUCCCUGUUCUCUCAACAGUUCCAGUACAGCGAAUGACCAGUCCACGGGAUCUUCAGCUUUUGCCUCACUUUUACCUAUGAAAAAACGCGAUCGGAACAUACGAUCAUUUAUAUCAGCAAAUGAAGUAACAGCAAGUUUAGUCAAGUCCUCUACAUACGGACCAAGCAUUGGGUGCUCCCUACAAAGAUAACAUUGGGGACAUUUUGAAACAUCUCACAAGAACAGGGUACAUUGCCAACACCAUCCACAUACAUUCUGCAAUAGUAUUAAUGAGAAUUGUAACCUUAACAAUGAAUAAAAGGACUGGGAAUCAAGGGAACUAGACAAUCAAACUACAUCUUAACCUGGGGCACUAAACCAUUUACACAAUGCAUGCAGGUGAAAAUUUUAGGUUUAAAUGUUCAGUGCUGCAGUUUGUCCAAAUACAAAAUGAAAAAUCAAAAUGUGUACUAGUAUCAAUUAUUGGAAAGCUCAAAAG